UAAGAGUUUAAAUGUUUAAACAGAGGAUACAUCUAAAACAGGAUAAAACAAGUGCAGUAUGUUGUGAGAAUGUUACUUUAACGUCGACUCAUAACGUCACACUAUAACUUUCAUGGGAGUCUUGUGGAAAGACUAACGGUGUUAUUGUAAGAGGUCAUGGGUCAAGGUCCUCACAAUUAUAGGAAGAUGCGCAUGUGUGUGUGAGAUAGUGUGUCCAGUGUGUGAGUGUGUGUGUUUGUCCAGUGUGUGUGUGUGUGUGUGUGUGUGUUUGUGUGUUUGUCCAGUGUGUGUGUGUGUUUGUCCAGUGUGUGUGUGUGUUUGUCCAGUGUGUGUGUGUGUGUGUGUUUGUCCAUGUGUGUGUGUGUGUGUGUGUUUGUCCAGUGUGUGUGUGUGUGUGUUUGUCCAGUGUGUGUUUGUCCAGUGUGUGUGUGUGUGUGUGUGUGUUUGUCCAGUGUGUGUGUGUGUGUGUGUGUGUGUUUUGUGUGUGUGUUUGUCCAGUGUGUGUGUGUGUGUGUGUGUGUGUUUGUCCAGUGUGUGUGUGUGUGUUUGUCCAGUGUGUGUGUGUGUGUGUGUGUUUGUCCAGUGUGUGUGUGUGUGUUUGUCCAGGGUGUGUGUGUGUGUGUGUGUGUGUGUUGUGUGUGUGUUUGUGUGUGUGUUUGUCCAGUGUGUGUGUGUGUGUGUGUGUGUUUGUGUGUGUGUUUGUCCAGUGUGUGUGUGUGUGUGUGUGUGUGUGUGUGUUUGUCCAGUGAGUGUGUGUGUGUGUUUGUCCAGUGUGUGUGUGUUUGUCCAGUGAGUGUGUGUGUGUUUGUUUGUCCAGUGUGUGUGUGUGUGUGUGUGUGUGUGUUUGUCCAGUGUGUGUGUGUGUGUUUGUCCAGUGUGUGUGUGUGUGUGUGUUUGUCCAGUGUGUGUGUGUGUGUUUGUCCAUGUGUGUGUGUGUGUGUGUGUGUGUGUGUGUGUCCAGUGUGUGUGUGUGUCCAGUGUGUGUGUGUGUGUGUGUGUGUGUGUGUUUGUGUGUUUGUCCAGUGUGUGUGUGUGUUUGUCCAGUGUGUGUGUGUGUGUGUGUUUGUCGAAGUGUGUGUGUGUGUGUGUGUGUUUGUCCAGUGUGUGUGUGUGUGUGUGUGUGUGUUUGUCCAGUGUGUGUGUGUGUGUGUGUGUGUUUGUCCAGUGUGUGUGUGUGUGUGUGUGUGUGUGUGUGUGUGUGUUUGUCCAGUGUGUGUGUGUGUGUGUGUGUUUGUCCAGUGUGUGUGUGUGUGUGUGUGUGUGUGUGUGUUGAGUGUGUGUGUGUUUGUUUGUCCAGUGUGUGUGUGUGUGUUUGUUUGUCCAGUGUGUGUGUGUUUGUUUGUCCAGUGUGUGUGUGUGUGUGUGUGUGUGUGUUUGUCCAGUGUGUGUGUGUGUGUUUGUCCAGUGUGUGUGUGUGUGUUUGUCCAGUGUGUGUGUGUGUGUGUGUGUCCAGUGUGUGUGUGUGUGUGUCCAGUGUGUGUGUGUGUGUGUGUGUGUGUGUGUGUGUGUCCAGUGUGUGUGUGUGUGUCCAGUGUGUGUGUGUGUGUGUGUCCAGUGUGUGUGUGUGUGUGUGUGUCCAGUGUGUGUGUGUGUGUGUGUGUCCAGUGUGUGUGUGUGUGUGUCCAUUUUGUGUCCAGUUUCAG
rnacentral:lncRNA from 1 species